UAAGUUGCAGGGUAUAGACCCGAAACCCGGUGAUCUAGCCAUGGGCAGGUUGAAGGUUGGGUAACACUAACUGGAGGACCGAACCGACUAAUGUUGAAAAAUUAGCGGAUGACCUGUGGCUGGGGGUGAAAGGCCAAUCAAACCGGGAGAUAGCUGGUUCUCCCCGAAAGCUAUUUAGGUAGCGCCUCGUGAAUUCAUCUCCGGGGGUAGAGCACUGUUUCGGCUAGGGGGCCAUCCCGGCUUACCAACCCGAUGCAAACUGCGAAUACCGGAGAAUGUUAUCACGGGAGACACACGGCGGGUGCUAACGUCCGUCGUGAAGAGGGAAACAACCCAGACCGCCAGCUAAGGUCCCAAAGUCAUGGUUAAGUGGGAAACGAUGUGGGAAGGCCCAGACAGCCAGGAUGUUGGCUUAGAAGCAGCCAUCAUUUAAAGAAAGCGUAAUAGCUCACUGGUCGAGUCGGCCUGCGCGGAAGAUGUAACGGGGCUAAACCAUGCACCGAAGCUGCGGCAGCGAACGUAUCACUUAAAGCGAUUCAGCGGGUUACGAUUGACGGAGCGAAGCGACGUCAAAGCGUAUACAAAGUCGAGUCGGUUUAAGGAUACGUUCGUUGGGUAGGGGAGCGUUCUGUAAGCCUGUGAAGGUGGCCUGUGAGGGUUGCUGGAGGUAUCAGAAGUGCGAAUGCUGACAUAAGUAACGAUAAAGCGGGUGAAAAGCCCGCUCGCCGGAAGACCAAGGGUUCCUGUCCAACGUUAAUCGGGGCAGGGUGAGUCGACCCCUAAGGCGAGGCCGAAAGGCGUAGUCGAUGGGAAACGGGUUAAUAUUCCCGUACUUGGUGUUACUGCGAAGGGGGGACGGAGAAGGCUAUGUUGGCCGGGCGACGGUUGUCCCGGUUUAAGCGUGUAGGUGUGUGUUCCAGGUAAAUCCGGUUCACUUUAACACUGAGGCGUGA
rnacentral:rRNA from 1 species